CCCUAGUAACUGCGAGUGAAGCGGGAAAAGCUCAAAUUUAAAAUCUGGUGGUCUUUGAUCAUCCGAGUUGUAAUCUAGAGAAGUGUUAUCCGCGCUGGACCGUGUACAAGUCUCCUGGAAUGGAGCGUCAUAGAGGGUGAGAAUCCCGUCUUUGACACGGACUGCCAGGGCUUUGUGAUGCGCUCUCAAAGAGUCGAGUUGUUUGGGAAUGCAGCUCAAAAUGGGUGGUAAAUUCCAUCUAAAGCUAAAUAUUGGCGAGAGACCGAUAGCGAACAAGUACCGUGAGGGAAAGAUGAAAAGAACUUUGGAAAGAGAGUUAAACAGUACGUGAAAUUGCUGAAAGGGAAACGCUUGAAGUCAGUCGCGUUGGCCGGGGAUCAACCUUGCUUUUGCUGGGCGUACUUUCCGGUUGACGGGUCAGCAUCAAUUUUGACCGUUGGAUAAAGUUCAAGGGAAUGUGGCAUCUUCGGAUGUGUUAUAGCCUUUGUUCGCAUACAACGGUUGGGAUUGAGGAACUCAGCACGCCGCAAGGCCGGGUAUUUAUACUACGUUCGUGCUUAGGAUGCUGGCAUAAUGGCUUUAAUCGACCCGUCUUGAAACACGGACCAAGGAGUCUAACAUGCCUGCGAGUGUUUGGGUGGAAAACCCGAGCGCGUAAUGAAAGUGAAAGUUGAGAUCCCUGUCGUGGGGAGCAUCGACGCCCGGACCAGACCUUUUGUGACGGAUCCGCGGUAGAGCAUGUAUGUUGGGACCCGAAAGAUGGUGAACUAUGCCUGAAUAGGGUGAAGCCAGAGGAAACUCUGGUGGAGGCUCGUAGCGAUUCUGACGUGCAAAUCGAUCGUCAAAUUUGGGUAUAGGGGCGAAAGACUAAUCGAACCAUCUAGUAGCUGG
rnacentral:rRNA from 1 species